rnacentral:rRNA from 1 species
AAAGAUCGAAUGRWGAGAUUCAUCGUCAGCGAUUUUGGUACGUGUGCGGUUCGCGAUGCCGGAGACUUCGGUCUCAUGGUACGCGUCCGUAUGUUUUUUAUUGCCAUUAUCGUCGGCGUGCACUUCUCCCCUAGUAGGACGUCGCGACCCGUUGGGUGUCGGUCUACGGCCCGGUGUGUAGCCUGUCACGUGUGCGCUUCACGGCGUUACGCGGUACAGACACCCGGUUGCCCGACCGGCUGCCCGGCGGUACUCGCACGGUAUCUGGCCGCAAAUAUUCGAACUGCGUCCGGCCCGUCGCAAGCGAGGCAAGUGUUUCCCGGCUGUACGGAUCUAAUGCCGUCACCGGGCCUUGCCAGCUGUUGGCUGACGGUGUCCUAGGACAGGCUAACCAAAAUUAUGAUACCGGUCGGCGACGCUACUGCUUUGGGUACUUUCAGGACCCGUCUUGAAACACGGACCAAGGAGUCUAACAUGUGCGCGAGUCAUUGGGAACUAUUAAGCCUAAAGGCGCAAUGAAAGUGAAGGUCGGCCUUGCGCCGACCGAGGGAGGAUGGGCCGCGUCACGAUGCGGUCCCGCACUCMCGGGGCGUCUCGUUCUCAUUG